rnacentral:rRNA from 1 species
CUACUCCUUCGGGAGGCAGCAGUAGGGAAUCUUCGGCAAUGGACGGAAGUCUGACCGAGCAACGCCGCGUGAGUGAAGAAGGUUUUCGGAUCGUAAAGCUCUGUUGUUAGAGAAGAACGUUGGUAGGAGUGGAAAAUCUACCAAGUGACGGUAACUAACCAGAAAGGGACGGCUAACUACGUGCCAGCAGCCGCGGUAAUACGUAGGUCCCGAGCGUUGUCCGGAUUUAUUGGGCGUAAAGCGAGCGCAGGCGGUUCUUUAAGUCUGAAGUUAAAGGCAGUGGCUUAACCAUUGUACGCUUUGGAAACUGGAGGACUUGAGUGCAGAAGGGGAGAGUGGAAUUCCAUGUGUAGCGGUGAAAUGCGUAGAUAUAUGGAGGAACACCGGUGGCGAAAGCGGCUCUCUGGUCUGUAACUGACGCUGAGGCUCGAAAGCGUGGGGAGCAAACAGGAUUAGAAACCCCGGUUA